CUUCCCGUCACGACAGGAUUUGCUUUGUGAAUGGAGAGAGUCGUGAUGAGGGGUGUCAUUAACGCGGCAAAAAAGAAAAAAAAACUAGGACAAUACUGCAGAUUAUGUGCAGCUGCGAACCUCAUCUUGUGAAUCACAUGUGCGAGUUUAGUUGGUGCCAUUUGGAGCCUUUGCAUUAAUGCAACAACUCUGCAGUGAAUCUUAAAGACUUCCUCUGAGCAAGAUUCAGUGAUCAGCUGCGAUGUGCGCGUCUCAGGCUGGGGAUAGCCUGCUGAAAUUAGGGUAUGUGUGUGGGGUGGGGGUGUGCACAGACGUGAGAACCCCUUGCAAACCCCCCAUCAGCACGUCAUGGAACAUUUGCAGAACAGGGACCUCCCACCUUAAAGGCGUGCAACAGAGAGCAGACACAACAGUGAGAUCUGCCCUGCACCGGACUCUCUGUCUCAGUCGACAAAUACUCCUGCAGCUGCUGUGGUUUCAGUGCAGAAAAAGAGCAAAGACCAGCUUUGAAAGACAUUCUGCAGAGGUUUACCGGUCAGCGUGCAACAUGAAAAUAACUUUACUGCUGCUGCAGUUUUCAGAGCCAGAAGAGGAUGUGUUGUUUUCCCGGGUCAUCUGUGCACAGCGGGGGUGCAUAGAUCUGUUUUGCACCGUCAGACUGCUUAAAAUGUCCCAGGCGGCUGGGGUGUUACACAUGUUGACACAAGGGGGCGCCAAAGGGAGGCAACAAAUGAGAUCAAGUCAGUGUAAUCAAGGUUGACUUUAUUGAAACAUUUAUUAAAAAUUAAUCAAACCGACCAGUGCAACAGGCUUAAUAAACUUCCCACAAAGCAUAUCUCAAAGAAAAGCAGCAAUUUCACAGUGUUUGAUGUCAUUGGUCCCAAAAUGACAGAAACUUGCCUGGGUUUCUGGGUGAGAAACUAAAGGAAAACCAUGGUCUUCUGUGUAAAAAUGUCAAGCAGGCCCAGCUGAAACUCUAUCAAGAUAGCAAGAAAAAAAAAAAAAA